GAAAUGAAGCAUGUGUAGGACUCCAAUGAGACGUGUCGAUAUGGCAAACCCCAACAGCAUCCACCAAAUCUCCAUUUUCACCACCCAACAACACCUUCAACACCUUACUUCCUCCUUCCAAUCCAUGGCAAUAUAACACUGGAUAAGCGUAUGGCAUCUUGUGGCAAGCUAUCAUUUUGCUGGGCCACAUCUCUUCUAUAAUCGCCACCACUGUGUGGUUCUGUACAAGUAUAUUGUUAAUGCUUGACCUUUUCAGGUACCUCGUGCUUAAAACGUUGAAAUCUGAUUGAGGGCCAAACAGGGCAUGUACGAAAUCAAGCAGGGAUUCUAAUGAGGUGGCGCAUGUCUUGGUCUCUCCUUGGAUGGGUUGAGCCUCACAGUGAGCUAGUGUGUUUCUCAUGGCUCGGGCUUGCGGAGACCCUGGAUUGAUUGACAACAUUUGGAGAACGUAUGAGAGUUUACCUGAAGAGAAAGGAAUUGAAUCAGCUUGCUCUUUUGACAGAAAGUGUUUAUGAAAAGAAGACAUUGGUUCUUUGCGAGGGAAGUAGAUGGGGAUCUUUUCCCCUACUUUCACAUCAGUUAUGUGGAAGAACACCAUUUCUUCUAUUCGCUUCGUCAUGCGGGAUGCUGCAUCAGCAUCAGCAGUGUCAUGCAUUUUGUGCUCAUGAUCAUUACUAUUAUCUUCAUCUUGCUUUCUGUAAAUCCAUAGAUGAUCAUCCCCGCCGACAUCUUUCUGCACUAGUACUUCACCAUCUUCAUCAUGGAUGUGAUGGUUUCGCUUCCCAUAAAUCCAAAAAUGAUCAUCAUCACCAUCCAUUGCGUUUUCGCUUCUUCUGACAUCAGCAUCAUCUUGCCUCUCAUGAAUAUCCCAGCUAGAUAGCCGCAAAACCUUAUUCAUGCUCCCAUCAUGCUGCAUCUCCCUGGCUAAUCCACUACACUGCACAAUUUUCUGUACCAUAAACUUCCAAUAUUAGAAGGCAAUAUGCUAUAUAUUUACAAGUAACAAAUAAUUUAUUAAAAGCAAAUAGUUAGCUUUUCACUCUACGUAUAUUUCAGUAAUGUUUGAUGAACAGGUUAGAGACGAAACGUGUGAAAGGAUUAAAAUUAAGCUACAGCUGGGUUUUGGUUAAAGCAAAACUCAUUCCUAGCUAGGUAACUCUAUAUAUUUGUACACACACAGAAACACAUAGUUUUAGAUCAUUACCAUAAGCAGUAGAAGAUGAAGAAAAAUGGUAGAGGAAGCAAAUUCCAUUUGGAUAUUUCUUCGCGGAAGCAGGUUUUUAUACUAGAAAGAUGUUUGAGUGGAGUCAAUUAUAUCCAAUUGUCAGCAGGUAGAUGAUGUCCGAUUGCAGUAGGAAUGGAUGGCAUGCUUUAGAUAUUACUCGGUUAAAUUUUUAAUGUUAUAAUUCUAAACUAAAUAAUCUCAAAGAUUCAAACAUCACAUUGCAUGUAAUAAGCAAUUUAUUACAGUUUUUACUGCCUGUACGAAUGAUUGGAAAGUGGAUGAGUAGAAAUUUAAAGUGAGAGACAAAAAGGCAACAGUUCUGGUAAGGAUUUUUUCAAUUCCAACGAAACAUUUAAAUUAAAUAAAUAAAAUGCAGCAGGGAUGAACAUUUCCAUGUGGUAUGUUUCCGAUGGGGGCAGGAUGAUUAGUCUAGCAAAUGGCUUUUAGCUUUCUGAAUUAUUGGACCUUCUUAAAAUGGCAGCUUUCUGAAUUAUUGGACCUUCUUAAAAUGGCAGUUCUCUCAAUUAUUGGACCUUUUUUGCUCGAUUCAUCAUCAUGUCUUCCACUCUGAUUUUUUUUUUUUUUUUUUUUGUAUAAAAAAACAAAACACUGGCUCUAUGAACAAUUAGGAAAAAGAAAAUUUAAUUAAUACUUUAUUUAAUAAAUAAAAAUAUCAUAUGCGGAGAAUUUUCUGAAACUUAUGUUAUUAUUUUCUGUAACAGUCCGGAAUUAGAAAGAAAAUAAAUUAUAAAUUUGAAUGUGGAAGCGAAAUAAUUCAGAAUACCCAACAAGAUUACGGGAAUGAUCAUUCUAGAAUAACAACAAAAAAUCAAAUAAGUAAAUGGAAAGUAAAUAAUUGAACAUCUUAUUAGCAACCCUCUUAUGGAUCGAGAUUUGGUUUUUGAUUCUUUUGAUCUGAAAUAAUUAAUAAAAAAGUGAACUACACUAACUCGGUAAAAAUCAUGAAAAUAACUGAUGAAAUUCUUAAUUUAAAUAAAUUCAUUUAUCAUAAAUAAAAUAAUUUAUUGUACACUUACCGUAGCGAAAUUUUCAAAACCGAUAUAUAGAGGCAAUAACACAAUAAUAUCAUAAUCUCAUAUUCAAUUAAUCAAAAUAACAACUUUCUCUUUUAACCUGCCUACUGGUAUCUAUUGAGAUUUAUAGGGAUAUCCCCACUACGAGUAAACCUUUAUUCAACAUUAUUAACUAACCGGCCAUCCUCAUACUCCGUCCGUUAUGAGCGACAAAAAUACAAUCCAUCAAUACCCUGUCCGGUAUGAAGGUGAAAUGGGUCGUCCCCAUACCCUAUCCGGUAUUAAUGUCAAAAUACCAAUUCUCGAUACCCCGUUUGGUAUGAAGCAGCGUUCACAGUAGGGUUUUCUAUGCACCCGAUCCAUCCACCAUCUCUCAGGAUAUCUAGUUAGGUUGUCAUUCAUUCAUUCAUUCACUCACUUAACCAAACAAUUUCUCGUUUAUAUUUAAUUUUCAGUUUCAUAAUUUAACUGUAAAUCACGCAAAACUAGCAAUACAUACAUUAAGAAAAUACAACUGAAUUAUCUUACAAACUCUAACAUAUUGUCAUGCAUUUAAAACUGUAAAAUCAAUUAAAACAAGAUAAACAGUAAUAAGUAACCAAUUCUGGCUCCGUUAGUAACUUGUGAUUAAUUAUUGAGAUUUUUUAAAUUAUACAAAAUAUCAUAUUAUUUAUAAUUAAACUUCAAUUCCAUAACAAGGAAUAGGGUGAGAGAUUUUUACUCGAAUUGAUGUCCAAAAUGCUAAGUUUUCAGUUACGCCUACUGGCGGUACCUAGGUUCCCUAAUUUUUUUUUUGAGAUUAAAACACGCACCAAGUAUUUAGAAAUAUUCCCAAAAAAAUCUAAAAUUGGUGUUAGAAACCCUUUCUGGUCAAUUUUAGAAUUCCGACACGGCAACACUGACGUGCUCUGACAAUAGCACCGCCACCUGCGGGGGUGGUUUGCCUCAAGCUAGCCGUUUUUGGUCAGUUUUAGAUAAUUUCGGCUGGUUUUAUACUGAUUCCUGUGAGAAAACAUGUUACAGAGCCUUGGUUGACUGAAAAAAAUUGAAAAAUGAAAAUUUACCAACGAUGAAAUUUUUCAGUGCAGCGGCUCCGCCGACUUUCCUUCGCGGUUGAAUGUUUUUCUUCGAUCAACUUGUAGAAAACAGAACGAAUCUGAUUUAGUCAUGUGGGUGUUCAAAAUCAAAUUUCGAGCGAUUGAGAGAAUUUUUACUUUUUUUUUUGCGGUCGGAGGUGGCUCCGGCGCGAUAGCGGGCGACGGUCGGCUUCCUUCUCAGCGAUUGGUUCUUCUUCUCCAGUGGGCAGGGCCGGUGGCUAGGGUUAGAAUUCGGUGUGAAGUGAGAUAUUUAUAUCCGUCUCCAAACGAAUCUGAACCGUUUAUCGCGAUUUGAUCUGAACUGUACGAUCACGUUUAAAGAGGGAACGAAUCUGGACCAUCAAUUGCAUUUAAUCGCGACCAUCCAAUCACGCCUGAGAAGGGAACAGAUCCAGACCGUCCACAUGCGCAGAACAAAUUCGGACCGUCCGAUCGCGGGCACGCGUAUUGCAGCGUGGCCUCCCGCGUGGUACUGCAUCAACGUGCCUUGCCAUGCGGCGCGCUUCGGUUCAUCGAUGCUGCUGAAUAGGCGGUCCUACGUGACAAAACUUUCUUAAAUUGCGUUUUGACAUAAAUUUUUUUAUUUUUCUUUCAAAAACAUUCAAGAACCUAAAUUUUUACCAAUUUUUUUCAAAAUUGUUUUCAAUUUCAUUUUCCACCUAUUUUUCUUAAUUUUUACAUAAAAUAAAAAUUCAUAAAUUUAAAAAUUAUACUUUAUAUAUUAAUUUUAAAUAUUUUAAAAUUAAUUGCGGGUAUUACAUUUUCAUUAUUUAAUCUCAUUUUUCUACAAUUUUUUUUCUAAUUUCCUAAUGUUUUAUACAUGCAUAUGUUUCCUUAUAAAACUAAUUUUAAUAAAAAUAAAAAAGGGCAGAAUUCAUACAUUAAACAUAUGAUCUUAGUAGUUAAUUAAAUUGAUUAUCUUAAAAAUCUGAAUUGGCAGCUUUCUCAUUUAUUGGACCUACUUUCUGAAUACAUUCAUCAUCAUCAUGUCUUCAAAAGAUCAUGAUAUUCUGUAUCUACAUUAUUGGCCACAAAAACAAGCAUGUAAAACUUUUUUUCUCUAAAUUUAUAAUAAAUCAUUAGAGUAGAAUUUAAUUUAAUUUAAUUUAAUUAUUAUAAAUUUAUUAAUAUACUAGUAAAAUUUAAAUUUAUGACCUUCAAAUGCUUACAAUUUUAAAAUUAUAUUAUUAAAAAUAAAAUACAGUAUUAAACUAGAAUAAUAAAAAAAUAAAAAUUUUAAACUACAUUUUUAAUAUUUUACAUAAUUUUAAUUAAUUAUUUUAAAAAUUUAAUAGAACAAGUAAAAUUAUUUUGGAUCAAUAUUUUUUUUUAAUAAGCUGAUAAACAUAAAUUAAUAAAAUUUACACAUCUUAACGGAUUGAUUUCAGAUAUAUAAAUCAUGAAUGAUUCAUCUUAAAGUUACGACAGAUCUCAUUUUUAUUAAUUCAUUGAAUGCCUUCAAUUAUUUUCUCUGCCUAUAAAUAUCAACAUUACACACAUUGCCUCCCACAAGAAACUAAACUACAAAUCUCAGUUAUAUCUUCUUUGGCUUCAAUUGGAGGAUGAAGACGUUCUUCGCUUUCCUCUUUCUUUUCUUACUUCUCUCGGUAUGCAUUUCUUUGAAUAGUAUUUUACAAUAAAUAACUAUAUAUAUAUAUCUCGUCAUUUUACUUAUAAUAUUUUCACACCCAUUAUAAUUUGCUCAAAGUACUUUAUAAUAACUUAAGAAUUAGAAGUGGGAAAAAAAAGGUAAAAGGGAAUAUGAAGCUUGAGGCAACUCAUUGUGAAGAAAUUCACAUGCUCCAUUUUGCAAAUUAAAAAAAAAAACGAAGGGAAAGCUUGAGUACUUCAAACGACCUUUUAACAUUUAAAUUUUUUUGAUAUUAUUAGUGAUUAUUUUGUAACAAUAAAAACUUAUUUUUGUUACUAAUUAUUUGUUUUGUCUUCUAAAUCAUGACAGUUCUCUAACACAAUGGCAAGAAAAAUUCGAAGUGAUUAUCAGAAAGAAGAAAUGAAAGAUGAUUGUGAUACAUUGAAAAAUUUAAAUAAAGAAGAGAAAUUCUUUGUUAAGAAUUUUGAGCCGGAGUUAGAUCUUUCAAUCUAUCAUGACGAUCAUGACGUUGACGUUAAAAAAGAAAAGUCAUUUAACAGCUUCAAGUCAAAAUCAGAUGUUCCAAUCUAUUAUGGUGAUCUUACUAUUUAUCAUCAUACAAAUGAUUUUGGAUCAAAGUCAUAUGCUACAAUAUAUCACGAUGAUGAUCUGAGUUUAAAACAAGAGAAAACGUUUGUGAAUGACUUUGAAACAAGCUCCGAUGCUUCUAUUUAUCAGGGAUGAGGGGAAGAUGAAAGGAAAACUACUCGAUAAUGGGUUACGACUUUAGUGCUUGGUAAGCAGUCAUAUAUGUAUCAAUAACAAGUGCAAAUAAUUAUAUGUAGAUUAAGUUUUCUGUUGUAUAUUAAGUAUUUGCUAGUGAUGCUUUCAUGUCUAUCAAUAAUAAAUUGUUCCUUAUUGGUUAUGAAAUAAAAUGUUUAGUUUGGUUUGUAGUUAGUUUUUCUUAUUUAAAUAGUGCUGGAACUUCAAUAAUGUUAUAAUUAAGAUAUAAUUUUAUAUAAAGUAAAUAUUAUUUACAUAGACCAAAAAAAUCUUAUAAAGAUGUAAAAAAAUUAGUAUACUUUAUCUUUUCGUGAAAGAUUUGUAUGAUGAAUAAAGUACGAGAAAUAAAUAGAUAAUUAUAAACUUAUCCGAUGCACAAUCUCAAAAUUUUUAAUGAAUUAAAAAUUUUAAAAAAUAACUAUUAUACUUAAAAAAAAUUAAUAAAUAAAUAUCUUAAAUAUUAUCAUUUAAUUCAAUUAUAUGUAUUAUCAGUAUAACUAAAUAUAUAUAUAUAUAUAUAUAUAUAUAUAUAAUUAUCAUACAUAUUUAAGUAGCAGUAAUCAGUUAAGAUUUUUUAAUUAAAAUAGUAUAAUUUUUUUUUUUAUAGAUCAUAAUAAAUUAUAUAUUAUCNNNNNNNNNNNNNNNNNNNNNNNNNNNNNNNNNNNNNNNNNNNNNNNNNNNNNNNNNNNNNNNNNNNNNNNNNNNNNNNNNNNNNNNNNNNNNNNNNNNNNNNNNNNNNNNNNNNNNNNNNNNNUUUUUGGAGGAUAGCCAGCUAGCUAGGCUGGAAGGAUGACUAGAUUGUUCGAUGGGAAGAAAUGGCAGACGGGGGAUUUGCCUGGUUCCACGCCCAGCAAACGAAAUGAAGCAUGUGUAGGACUCCAAUGAGACGUGUCCAUAUGGCAAACUCCUACAGCAUCCACCGAAUCUCCAUUCUCACCACCCAACCACACCUUCAAAACCUUACUUCCUCCCUCCAAACCAUGGCAAUACAACACUGGAUAAGCGUAUGGCAUCUGGUGACAAGCAAUCAUUUUCCUGGGCCACAUCUCUUCUUUAAUCCCCAUCACUGUGUAGUUUUGUACAAUUAGAUUGCUACUUGGUGACCUUUUCAGGUACCUCGUGGUUAAAAUGUGGAAAUCUGAUUGCGGGCGGAACAGGGCAUGUAUGAAGUCAAGCAGGGAUUCUAAAGAGGUGGCGCAUGUCUUGGUCUCUCCUUGGAUGGGUUCACACUCACAGUGAGCUAGUGUGUUUUUCAUGGCUCGGGCUUGGGGAGAACCUGGACUGAUUGACAACAUUUGGAGAACGUAUGGGAGU
rnacentral:lncRNA from 1 species